rnacentral:lncRNA from 1 species
CCACAGGUGUCGGUAACGAGGGAGAUGAAGGAGUGGAGGAUGAAGAGGAGACAGAAGAAAUUGAGGAUGAAGACAGUGAGGAAGAUGAAGAAGAUGGGGAGAAUGAAGAAGAGAUGAGAAGCAAAGAGAAGGAAGAGCAAGACAACACGGAUGAGUCCACGGAUGAAGACUACACGCCCGAAGAGGAGGGAGCUGAAUAAUGUGUCAUCGUCUGUCGUCGCUAAGCCUGCACUGCACUUGAUUUCUGACAACAAAGAACAGCAGACUCAGAAGACACAAGAUGCCAACAGAGCAAUUCCAGACAAAGAGAAGAGAAGAGCAGUGAAAUCAGGUCCUGAAACACCAGCCAGCGUUCUCAAAAACGAAGGUUCUACAAAGGGAUUUCUGAGCGAUGCCUAAAAAGAACCACUUUCAGUUUUAUUUUUAAAUGGGAUGUUGGUGUGAAGAACUUUUUACCCUGGGGACCUAAUGAACCUGGUGGAGCAGUUCAAGAUCUAAUCAUGUGGAACAUCAUGCUUAUGCACUUUCAUGCUUAUGCACUUUUCUUUACAAAGUAAAGAAAAAAGUUUUUUU